AGCCCAGGUUCUCACGUGGUAGCCUUGGGCCAAAUCCCAGGCCCCAGUAGGGACCUGAAGUUUUGCACCCAACACUGAAUCCCACCGGUCCCCGCCCCUCCUGGCUAGAGUGAAGACGUCACAGCUCCCUUUUCCACCUCGAGGCACGCCGAUGUAUGACAAAGUUCCACUCGAGUACUCCCACACGUUGCUUUUGGACACAAACAUCUGAAAUCACGGUCUCUUCCAGACUCCACAUACACCUCAGGAAAAAACCCAGAACCAGAAACAUUGGCGCCAGGACAUUCUUUAGGCUAGAACCACCCCGCGCGCGUGCCUUUUCGAUUGUUUCGGCCUGGCAGUGUAGCUGCGCGCGCGCGCCGACUGCGAUUGGUGCUGCCUGGCGGCGGGGCGCAGGGCACGCUGGGACGUCUCGCUGGCGGGAGGCAGAGGUCUGGCUACGGUGCGGGGGAGCGGGAGGCGGCAGGAUGGUCAAGCUGACGGCGGAGCUGAUCGAGCAGGCGGCACAGUACACCAACGCAGUGCGGGACCGGGAGCUGGACCUCCGGGGGUAUAAAAUUCCUGUCAUUGAAAAUCUAGGUGCUACCUUAGACCAGUUUGAUGCUAUUGAUUUUUCUGACAAUGAGAUCAGGAAACUGGAUGGUUUUCCCUUGUUGAGAAGACUGAAAACAUUAUUAGUGAACAACAACAGAAUAUGCCGUAUAGGUGAGGGACUGGAUCAGGCUCUGCCCUGUCUAACAGAACUCAUUCUCACCAACAAUAGUCUCGUGGAACUGGGCGACCUGGACCCUUUGGCAUCUCUCAAAUCACUGACUUACCUAAGUAUUCUAAGAAAUCCUGUAACAAAUAAGAAGCAUUACAGACUAUAUGUGAUUUAUAAAGUUCCGCAAGUUAGAGUACUGGAUUUCCAGAAAGUGAAACUAAAAGAGCGUCAGGAAGCAGAGAAAAUGUUCAAGGGCAAACGGGGUGCACAGCUUGCAAAGGAUAUUGCCAGGAGAAGCAAAACGUAAGAUACGGAUAUCCAACUUAACUCCACUUCACCUUCAGAAACACUAUCUCUCUGGCAGUUUGCCUCCUACAAAAUUAACAAAACACUGUGACUAAUAAGGUAUUUCAUUUGAGUGCCAGUAGUACAUGACCGUCAGUGGUCCCUGUAUCAGAAGAAAUUUCUGCCAGGCUAGCAGAGCAGCUAUUUCUGUAUUCAGUCUUAAUGUGGUAUUGUAUAUGUCCUGUUUUCUCUAUAGAAAGAUGAACUGGGUAGUGUUUCUGAAGGAAAGAGUUCUUGUAUCAGUUUGUUAACAAAGAUAAGAUACUACACUGGUUGAAUUACUUUCAAAAGCUUUUGAAAGUAAAAGAGAAGCAAUUUCUGUUGAUCUGGGUUUAACAGUUGUGUUCUUCUACCCCUCCCAAGUUUUAAUCCAGGUGCUGGUUUGCCAACUGACAAAAAGAAAGGUGGGCCAUCUCCAGGGGAUGUAGAAGCAAUCAAGAAUGCCAUAGCAAAUGCGUCAACUCUGGCUGAAGUGGAGAGGCU